rnacentral:rRNA from 1 species
GCAGGGAAUAUUGCGCAAUGGGCGAAAGCCUGACGCAGCGACGCCGCGUGGAGGAUGAAGACCCUCGGGUUGUAAACUCCUUUUCUCAGGGAAGAAACUCGACGGUACCUGAGGAAUAAGUCACGGCUAACUACGUGCCAGCAGCCGCGGUAAUACGUAGGUGGCAAGCGUUAUCCGGAUUCAUUGGGCGUAAAGAGGGUGCAGGCGGCCUGGUAAGUCGGAUGUGAAAUCUCUCGGCUUAACUGAGAGGGGUCAUCCGAUACUGCCGGGCUUGAGGACAGUAGAGGGAGAUGGAAUUCCCGGUGUAGUGGUGAAAUACGUAGAUAUCGGGAGGAACACCAGUGGCGAAAGCGGUCUCCUAGGCUGUCCCUGACGCUUAGACCCGAAAGCGUGGGGAGCGAACAGGAUUAGAAACCCCAGUAGUCC